CAGCCACACUGGAACUGAGACACGGUCCAGACUCCUACGGGAGGCAGCAGUGGGGAAUAUUGGACAAUGGGCGCAAGCCUGAUCCAGCCAUGCCGCGUGUGUGAAGAAGGCCUUCGGGUUGUAAAGCACUUUCAGUUGGGAGGAAGCGUUGUGUGUUAAUAGUACACAGCGUUGACGUUACCAACAGAAGAAGCACCGGCUAACUCUGUGCCAGCAGCCGCGGUAAUACAGAGGGUGCAAGCGUUAAUCGGAAUUACUGGGCGUAAAGCGCACGUAGGCGGUUUUUUAAGUCAGAUGUGAAAGCCCCGGGCUCAACCUGGGAAUUGCAUUUGAAACUGGAAAACUAGAGUGUGUGAGAGGGGGGUAGAAUUCCAAGUGUAGCGGUGAAAUGCGUAGAGAUUUGGAGGAAUACCAGUGGCGAAGGCGGCCCCCUGGCACAACACUGACGCUCAGGUGCGAAAGCGUGGGGAGCAAACAGGAUUAGAUACCCUGGUAGUCCACGCCGUAAACGAUGUCUACUAGCUGUUCGUGACCUUGUGUCGUGAGUAGCGCAGCUAACGCACUAAGUAGACCGCCUGGGGAGUACGGUCGCAAGAUUAAAACUCAAAUGAAUUGACGGGGGCCCGCACAAGCGGUGGAGCAUGUGGUUUAAUUCGACGCAACGCGAAGAACCUUACCUACUCUUGACAUCCAGAGAAGACUGCAGAGAUGCGGUUGUGCCUUCGGGAACUCUGAGACAGGUGCUGCAUGGCUGUCGUCAGCUCGUGUUGUGAAAUGUUGGGUUAAGUCCCGCAACGAGCGCAACCCUUAUCCUUAGUUGCCAGCACGUAAUGGUGGGAACUCUAGGGAGACUGCCGGUGAUAAACCGGAGGAAGGUGGGGACGACGUCAAGUCAUCAUGGCCCUUACGAGUAGGGCUACACACGUGCUACAAUGGUAUGUACAGAGGGAGGCAAGCUGGCGACAGUGAGCGGAUCUCUUAAAGCAUAUCGUAGUCCGGAUCGCAGUCUGCAACUCGACUGCGUGAAGUCGGAAUCGCUAGUAAUCGCAAAUCAGAAAUGUUGCGGUGAAUACGUUCCCGGGCCUUGUACACACCCGCCCGUCACACCAUGGGAGUGGGUUGCAAAAGAAGUAGGUAGCUUAACCCUUCGGGAAGGGCGCUUUACCACUUUGUGAUUCAUGACUGGGGCGAAAGUCGUA
rnacentral:rRNA from 1 species